UGUAAACGAUGUCGAUUUGGAGUUUGGGGGCAUGACCCUUGGGCUCCGGAGCUAACGCGUUAAAUCGACCGCCUGGGGAGUACGGCCGCAAGGUUAAAACUCAAAUGAAUUGACGGGGGCCCGCACAGCGGUGGAGCAUGUGGUUUAAUUCGAUGCAACGCGAAGAACCUUACCUGGUCUUGACAUCCAUAGAAUCUUUCAGAGAUGAGGGAGUGCCUUCGGGAGCUAUGAGACAGGUGCUGCAUGGCUGUCGUCAGCUCGUGUUGUGAAAUGUUGGGUUAAGUCCCGCAACGAGCGCAACCCCUAUCCUUUGUUGCCAGCACGUAAUGGUGGGAACUCAAAGGAGACUGCCGUUGAUAAAGCGGAGGAAGGUGGGGACGACGUCAAGUCAUCAUGGCCCUUACGACCAGGGCUACACACGUGCUACAAUGGCGUAUACAAAGGGAUGCGAAGGUGCGAACUGGAGCGGACCUCACAAAGUACGUCUAAGUCCGGAUUGGAGUCUGCAACUCGACUCCAUGAAGUCGGAAUCGCUAGUAAUCGUGAAUCAGAAUGUCACGGUGAAUACGUUCCCGGGCCUUGUACACACCGCCCGUCACACCAUGGGAGUGGGUUGCACCAGAAGUAGAUAGCUUAACCUUCGGGAGGGCGUUUACCACGGUGUGGUUCAUGACUGGGGUGAAGUCGUAACAAGGUAACCA
rnacentral:rRNA from 1 species